UGUCUAUUCAUUUGCUUUUGUAAUAAAUUUGGUAAAUUCUAAAGAGACUUUACAGACACCCUGUUUUUUUGCAUGUUCAAAAAUAAUUCUGGA